rnacentral:rRNA from 1 species
AUUGAACGCUGGCGGCAGGCCUAACACAUGCAAGUCGAACGAGUGGCGGACGGGUGAGUAAUGUCUGGGAAACUGCCCGAUGGAGGGGGAUAACUACUGGAAACGGUAGCUAAUACCGCAUACCAUCGGAUGUGCCCAGAUGGGAUUAGCUAGUUGGUGGGGUAACGGCUCACCUAGGCGACGAUCCCUAGCUGGUCUGAGAGGAUGACCAGCCACACUGGAACUGAGACACGGUCCAGACUCCUACGGGAGGCAGCAGUGGGGAAUAUUGCACAAUGGGCGCAAGCCUGAUGGAGCAAUGCCGCGUGUGUGAAGAAGGUCUUCGGAUCGUAAAGUUCUGUUAGUAGGGAGGCGGUACCCGAACAGAAAGCCCCGGCUAACUCCGUGCCAGCAGCCGCGGUAAUUC